rnacentral:rRNA from 1 species
GACAUUUUGCAUGGAGAAGUCUAGACGGAGCACGCCGCGUGAGUGAUGAAGGCUUUCGGGUCGUAAAACUCUGUUGUUAGGGAAGAACAAGUGCUAGUUGAAUAAGCUGGCACCUUGACGGUACCUAACCAGAAAGCCACGGCUAACUACGUGCCAGCAGCCGCGGUAAUACGUAGGUGGCAAGCGUUAUCCGGAAUUAUUGGGCGUAAAGCGCGCGCAGGUGGUUUCUUAAGUCUGAUGUGAAAGCCCACGGCUCAACCGUGAAGGGUCAUUGAAAACUGGGAGACUUGAGUGCACAACAGCAAAGUUGAAUUCA